rnacentral:tRNA from 1 species
CUUGUAGCUUAUCCCCAAAGCAUAGCACUGAAGAUGCUAAGAUGUUGCUACCCGCACCCGAGGAC